rnacentral:rRNA from 1 species
UGCCUAACAGCUAGCCCACCCAAACAAUUUCAACAAACCCCUGUUAAUAACCCCUAAGUACCCCAGUAUUUAUUUUAAACAAACCAUUUUUCCCCCCUAGUAUAGGCGAUAGAAAAGGGCCCACGGCGCAAUAGAGAAAGUACCGCAAGGGAACGCUGAAAGAGAAGUGAAACAACCCAGUAAAGCCUAAAAAAGCAGAGAUCUAAACUCGUACCUUUUGCAUCAUGAUUUAGCAAGUGUAACCCAAGCAAAGCGUACUUUAGUUUGACGUCCCGAAACUAGGUGAGCUACUCCAAGACAGCCUAUCAAUAGGGCGUACCCGUCUCUGUGGCAAAAGAGUGGGGAGAGCUUUGAGUAGAGGUGACAAACCUACCGAACCUAGUUAUAGCUGGUUGUCCAAGAAAUGAAUAGAAGUUCAGCCUUUCAGCUUCUCUUUUCACCUUAGUUUGACCCCUAUUGAUGCAUCAAAGAAACCGAAAGAGUUAGUCAAAGGGGGUACAGCCCCUUUGAAUCAAGACACAACUUUACCAGGAGGGUAAAGAUCAUAAUAAUUAAAGCUAAAUGUUUUGGUGGGCCUAAAAGCAGCCAUCCCCUUAGAAAGCGUUAAAGCUCAGACAUGCAACUAUCCUUCUUAUCCUGAUCACUCAAUCUUACCCCCCUAACCGUACUGGACCAUCCCAUGCCAACAUGGGAGUGACUAUGCUGAAAUGAGUAAUAAGAGAGCUACCGGCUCUCUCCCUGCACACGUGUAUAUCGGAACGGACAACCCACCGAACCUUAACGGCCCCAAAUAAAGAGGGCAGUGGAUGUUAGACCAAAAAACUAGAAAAGUAUCCAAAAACCAACCGUUAAACCCACACAGGUGUGCCCCCAGGGAAAGACUAAAAGAA